CGCCCCGGUGCCGCAGGCGGUCUCCCUCAAGGACCACGAGGAGGAAAGAACCCCACCAAACCCCACCCCUCCCGCCCAGGCCGCCGCCUCACUCACGCGAGUGAACAUCGCCAACUCAGCUGGAUUCGGGAGCCCUUGCCUGCCCUACGCUCAGCGCAACCAACCGCAGACAUGCGACGGCCCUCGCCGGGACUGGCAUCCCAGUGCGAGGGCCUGACCACCGAGGAAGGCUCCAACUUCCUG
rnacentral:ncRNA from 22 species